rnacentral:rRNA from 1 species
CAGCAGCCGCGGGAAUACGUAGGUGGCAAGCGUUGUCCGGAAUUAUUGGGCGUAAAGGGCUCGCAGGCGGUUUCUUAAGUCUGAUGUGAAAGCCCCCGGCUCAACCGGGGAGGGUCAUUGGAAACUGGGAAACUUGAGUGUAGAAGAGGAGAGUGGAAUUCCACGUGUAGCGGUGAAAUGCGUAGAGAUGUGGAGGAACACCAGUGGCGAAGGCGACUCUCUGGUCUGUAACUGACGCUGAGGAGCGAAAGCGUGGGGAGCGAACAGGAUUAGAUACCCCUGUAGUCCCUGUCUCUUAUAC